UCUUAUGAUGGAUAAAUAAAACUACUGUCUAAUAUGAUAAUCUAACACAUAUUUUUUUUGUGUGUGCACAGGCACCCACAUUGCCAUCAAGGGCCCUAGUGUUGAUGAGGCCCUAUACUGGACAGCAAAAGGUAUCACUCCAUGAAUAUCCAAAUUGUUUGUGAUACUACUGGAGUAAUCCUCAGUUACUCUUCAAGAUUCCCAGUUGGCAACUGUGAUAUAAAGCAGAGAUCUGAGAGGCGAGUCUGGGGACUACUUGCUUAUUGGCGAUAGUGGGUAUCCUCUUGACCCCCAUGUCAUGGUCUCAGUGAGCAAUCCGACAACGGCAGCAGACCAGCGGUAGAACUGGUUGCAUGCACAGAUGAGGGUCACUGUGGAGUAGACAUCGCGAUGCUGAAAA